AGACCGUAGAAAAGCCGUUUGAACUAACUUUUAAUCAGUGGGUCGCAGGUUCGAAUCCUGCACGGCUCACCA
rnacentral:tRNA from 1 species